rnacentral:lncRNA from 1 species
UAGACAUGAAGGAGAAAGGAAAGGAUAAGGGAGAAAAAAGAAAGGACAGAGAGAAAAAAAUGAACAAUCAGAGUAAAGGUAGCAAGCAUUCUCUAACUCCUGACCUCGAGUGAUCCUCCUGCCUCAACCUCCCAAAGUGCUGGGACUACAGGCGUGAGCCACCGCGCGGGGCCUCAACCAGCAUUCUCUAGAGCGGUGGAUCCCAAAUGCCAUCUGAGGACCAGCAACAGCAGCAGCAUCCGGUUAAUGGAGUCAUGGUGACACUGACAAUUCUUCCUGUCUUGGCAUCUGACAGAGGAUUUGAAACCGAAUGUUGAACUCAUGUUAGGAAAGUGAAGCAGCAGGUUCUCUGGAGAGAGAUGGUCUCUGCAUAGCAGAAAUGGAGUUCCCCCAAGGGAAGCGAGUCUGGCCGCUGGGGCGCUGGCUUCCUCACUGAGACACCAGAGAGGGAGCCUUCUUCCACAUUGUCAUCUGAAGAUUUCUCAUCAUUAGACUCUCUCAGCGCACCCAGAAUGGGACAUGGUGGGUCUGCAGAAAAGGAAACAGUGUUUCCAGAUCCUUCUAGACACACGCUUAGUGCAUUAAAGGAAAAUCAUUCACAGUCUAAAUGGGUU